UACGAAGGGGGCUAGCGUUGCCCGGAAUCACUGGGCGUAAAGCGCACGUAGGCGGAUUGCUAAGUCAGGGGUGAAAUCCUGGAGCUCAACUCCAGAACUGCCUUUGAUACUGGCAACCUUGAGUCCGGGAGAGGUGAGUGGAACUGCGAGUGUAGAGGUGAAAUUCGUAGAUAUUCGCAAGAACACCAGUGGCGAAGGCGGCUCACUGGCCCGGUACUGACGCUGAGGUGCGAAAGCGUGGGGAGCAAACAGG
rnacentral:rRNA from 1 species